rnacentral:rRNA from 1 species
GUGGGGAAUAUUGGACAAUGGGGGGAACCCUGAUCCAGCCAUGCCGCGUGUGUGAAGAAGGCCUUUUGGUUGUAAAGCACUUUAAGCGAGGAGGAGGCUACCGAGAUUAAUACUCUUGGAUAGUGGACGUUACUCGCAGAAUAAGCACCGGCUAACUCUGUGCCAGCAGCCGCGGUAAUACAGAGGGUGCAAGCGUUAAUCGGAUUUACUGGGCGUAAAGCGCGCGUAGGUGGCCAAUUAAGUCAAAUGUGAAAUCCCCGAGCUUAACUUGGGAAUUGCAUUAGAUACUGGUUGGCUAGAGUAUGGGAGAGGAUGGUAGAAUUCCAGGUGUAGCGGUGAAAUGCGUAGAGAUCUGGAGGAAUACCGAUGGCGAAGGCAGCCAUCUGGCCUAAUACUGACACUGAGGUGCGAAAGCAUGGGGAGCAAACAGGAUUAGAUACCCCAGUAGUCC